AUUUAGAUUUAAAGUUAGGUAAUCAUGGUGUAAAUCCAUGACUGUGCCGCAACUGUUUCACCUCGUCGAAGCCUUGGCGAAGACGGGUUAUAGUCAGAAAACUAACUUUAUU
rnacentral:ncRNA from 2 species